GCGAGAGUGCUGGAAUAGGUAGACAGGCACGUUUGAGGGGCGUGUGGCAACCGUCGUGUGAGUUCAAGUCUCAUCUCUCGCACCA
rnacentral:tRNA from 1 species